UCAGAUCGGAUCGGACCCCUGAUUUCUUUUUCUGUUCGAUUCAGUCCGUAGUAGCAGCAGGCGACCUGCAGCAGCUCCUUCCUACCUUCCAUGGAUGAGCUCUUCGGAGACGCCGUCCAGCCCGACCACGACCACGACUACCCCACGCACAAGAGGAAGGUUGAUUCAUUUGUCAAAUUCAUUCCACCGAAGCCAUCUGCUCCGCCCACCAACCCACCCAGAAAGGUAGUUACAGUGAAUUGAUGUUCGCACUGAGGCCGGAGGCGAGAGGCGAGGGCACGGAGGUCGGUGGCAAGUGCUCAGGAGAGAAGAGGAAGGCGGCGGCGCUGGGCGGUGGCUGUGGUUUACACGAGAGGGAGGUGACCCACCCAGAAAGCUCUGUUGAUGGAUGAUUUCUGCCAUAUUUAUGGAGGGGGAGGACGCCAACUACUAGGAGAAGGAUCAGUUUAGCAAGUACAGGAUGUAAUUCUCUUAUGAUUAUGGGUAGAUGCCUCCUUUAUUUAGUUACCAGAGUUGUUCACUAUUGAAUAUGCAAAUUCAACAUCCUUUAUAUAAUGGGAUCUUAUGAACUCUUUUUGAAGAUUGCUGAGAAGCGCAACCUUUUGAUCUUUGAGAACCGCAAGUUUGCUGACAUUAAAAACACAUUCAUUAUGCAAGACGAAUGGUGAGAAAUGUGUUAUUCCCUAUCCUUCCAUUCUAUUUGCAUAUUCACGCAGUAUGCUUAGUUUUUUCCUUUCAAGAUGAAUAUUCUACACAUGAGAGCAAUAUACUUGGUAUUAUUGAUGCUCAUAUAAUUCCUGGACCUGGAAUUGUUGAUGGCUUGAGGCUUAAAGUAUGUUAUGUGUUGCAUACCUAAUAAAUAUUAGCAAGCUAAUGUUGCAGCUUGACAGAUGUUGUGAUAACUUCUCCUUUUUCUGUUUGUUAAUAUCCACUUCGAACUGAGCAGCCAUGAUCCGGAUUUCCUCUAUGUAGCUAUGAGAUGCAUGCAGUUCGUUAUUGUGUAUCAUGUGCUAAAACAUUGAUUAUUUGACAAUGAACACAUGGCAAUGCCUUAACUAUUCAACUUGCCUAGCUCAGUAUUUUAACCAAUAGAGAAGUUUUUUUUGUUGCUUUCCCUUUUGUUAGAUAUUUUGCUUUUUGUAUGUUGAGGGGAGAUGGAUAUGGCCUCAGGACUAAACGCACAGACCACAUGAAGUGAUCUGAUGGUAGGUAAAGUAUUUUUUAUUGGCAAUGCUAAUGUCUGGACCAGCUCAAUGGUUUUAACUCUAUGAUGUUCAGUUUAGCAUAUCACAUGUACAAAUGCAUAUAUACAAAUUGUGGUAGGCAACUCACUAUUUAGACGACGCGACUAUUCUCUUGAUAAGGAGAGUCCCACCAUACUCAUGUGAGAGUUAGGCGUGGUAGUGGGUAGUGUUUUCUCAUCAUCCAUUAUGUGUUUCUUCUGUCUAGCUCGAAGUUGCUUAGUUAGAUAAUGAUUCGCAAAUUCCAGCAUUGCAUGUUGCCUGACACUUUUGCAUUAUCAUUGAAUUGCAGCCUGCAUUUUUGCAGCCCGCGAGGCGUGUAAAUGUUGGACUAUUGUUUCUCCGCUGAUGCACAUGUUUCGCCACAGAGACAGUACUCUGUGUGUGUGUGAUCUCUGGAAUUAGUUUUUAUGUUUCUCUAUGUUGAGUACUUUUGUAAUCUCCACGGGUGUGUUUCGUAUUUUCUAUGUACCCUCUGUCAUUCUUUUAAGUGUUUAAUGUUUUCUUUUGUAGUUUUUGAUAUUUAGGUGCAGUCACGUUUCAUUUGUCGCAGACCUGCACCCGUUAGGAAAAUCAUAGUUUCAUUUCGAUCAUGUUUCUUUAAGUUGUUCAGUGUUUGUUCAUUAUGUAGUAGAGUAAGCAGUACAUUUUGUCCAUCAGUUAAAUCACUCAUGUCACAUUCAGUUGAUUGAUUAGGUUUAGUUUUUGUUCCUUUCUCUUUGUUCCUUCAGUUUUUUGUUCCUUUAUUUAGUCAUUGUGCUUGCAUCAUUUGCCAGUAUUUUAGUCCAUCUCAAUAGACCCCUAUGAUUCUUGAUAGUUUAUCUCUUUCAUAGAUCAGACUUUUCCACUUUGUUAGUUAGGCUAAUUUAUGCUUUUUUCAGUUUUUAGUCUUUACAUGAUUUAGUUGGACAGUGUGUUUGGUAUUUCAAUAGUUCAGUAGUUUCAUACUUUCAUUUAAUUAAAUAGUCUUAUUUUUAGUCUCAGUACUUCAGGUUUAGUUUCCAAACAAGUACUUUUUUACUCAUGUGGUUUUCGGUCUUUUGACUAUAUGUGGUUUUCAAUCUUUUCAUCUCUUGGUUUACUUGUCAUUCUUAAUUUAUCCGCCUUACUAUUCUCAGUCUUGUUUUUUAUUGAGAGAGACAACCUUUUCAAUACACUUCUAUUUUAAUUUUUCAUAACAACGGCUGUUUUUUUGUUUCAACUAUGCUAUUAAAGUAAACCAAGUAUAUUAAAAUAAACCAACUAUAUUCAUAUAUGCCUCAGUAAUUGGUAUAGCCGUUUUUUAUCGAGAGACAACAUUUCAAAACACUUCUAUCUUCAUUUUUCAUACCAACGAAUAUUUUUUGUGCUGACAUGUGAGUUAAUUAUUUGGAAAAAAUAUAAUCAUAUAUGUAUUGCCAACAAUUUUUAUGUUUAAAGCAACCAAUUUUGUGAAAAGAGUGGAGAGAAAGAUACAUGUGCAAUUUCUUGAUGUUACAGCGGAUGGAUACUCGAUCUUUAAACAUAAGCACACAUGAAUAGGUACAAAUUCGAGGAAAGGCCAAUGAAAUAGUUGUCUGUACACAUAUGUGCCAGUUUUAUACCUGGUUGUCUGGUUGCAUUAUUUGUCCGGUUUCAAUUCAGUUUGAGUAGAUUGUUAUCCGUGAGCGAUACUUGCUACUAUUUGUACCCAUGCACCAAUUUGCAUACCUAUUUUAGGCACAGAAACCAACCAUGACUGAAAAUCAUGUAUAUAUAAUUUACUAUGAUUCAUGGUGAGAAAAUCAUGAUUUAAUAAACGAAAGGUGGUUUGUUUUGCUAACAGUACUGAGUAUAAAUGUAAAUCGCAGAUCGUACGCUGCUGCUACGGGCUCCAUGUUGUUUAUGCUAGACAACACAAUGGUGCUUGUGUUAUCUAUAGUUGAAGUCGCAGUUUAAUAUUCUUUGCUUUAUGCUUGUGUUAUAUGUGGUUGAAGGGACAUCCUUGUUAGUUUGCAUGGUCUAUGUAAGAAGGAGCAGUACAAUGCUUGUCAAGUUUGUUUAUAUUCUGAUGGCUGUUGAAUUCUGGACAAUGGAGACGUGAAUUUGUUACGUACAUAGGUACUAGGCAUAGGAUACUUUACUCAUUGAUGACAUGUAGUUUUAGAGAACUUCUGAAAAUUCCAAUUCAGGUUUUCUGUGUUCCAUUCAGGAAGAACGCACAGUCUACACUGGGGUAUAAAAUUAUCUACUGCUUACCUUUGUGUCUCGACAUAUGAUUGUGAUGCAUCGUGCUGCCAGAGGCCAACAUUAUCCAGUAUCAUAGCGAUGCUAAAAAUGCCUAUUGGUUACUCCGCAUAUUCUCAUCUGAUUUCUCACAUAUAGAUAUUAAUUUCCUUUCAUGGGAGACCUUCAUUACAUUUCAGCGGCGGUUGCGGAUGUGAUUGGCGGUUGAGGGAGGGUCUCCGACUAGAGCAGCAGGAGCAAGGUGCUCGAGGAAGUUCAGGACAAUUUUCUGGAUUAAUAUCUAUACUGGAGAUCUAGGAGUCCACCCGAAUUCAGUCUCCAAGAAGCCGUUCAUCCAGGAUCCACCAAAAUUCAAAUGAUAUGUGAAAAGCGUGUGCUAGAUGUGGCCCCUAUUCAGCGUUUUGAUCUGUCCACUCAGGUGCUUUUGUCUAGGUGGUAACACAACAAGCUGCUUAUCUUAUAGAAACUUAUUAUACGUACAGUCCUAUGUUCGUUCUGCUUGCAUGUUAGAGAAAGAGCUUCUGCCCCUAUGUAAGUAAUCCUAUGGGAAUUAGCAACGUUGGCUGUACUUUCAAGCGGGUUGAAUCCAAUGCAAGUUUUUGGAGCAGUUGGGUUCCAGAACAAACGACUAGGUAUUCCCAAAGAGGUCAUUCCACUGGUGGCUAGCAUAUCUUACAUGUCGGGACAAGUAAGAUGACAGAUCAUUUCUCAAAUAAUAUGCCAAGCCAGCUUUACUCUCUCAUCAUCCCAAGAAAUAUAUGCAUGCACAAAUUUUUCAUCAUGAUAACCAUCAUUUCAAACUUGCUAAAAAAAUACAACCAUGCCAACUUUACUACCUCGUCAUAGUGGCCAUUUUUUUCAGAUUGAACAUAUUCAUAUUAUGCAAAAUUUCCCUUUUCCUAGACUAUGGUUUAGUUCAAGAUUCUUGCAGCAUGAAACUAUUUUCAUCGACAACAUGUCUUCAGCAGGUCUCUGCCCCAUUUGGCGCAACGGGUCAACUAGUUGGUGGAAUAUACAAGCCAAGUUCUAUAAUGAAAAAUUCCCACUA